rnacentral:tRNA from 1 species
AAGUGAGAAGCAAACUUUGCAAUCAGUUUCGACCUGAUCCCCGAUACUAAUAAUAUCCUUACUUU